UACGGAGGGUGCAAGCGUUAUCCGGAUUUACUGGGUUUAAAGGGUGCGUAGGUGGCGCGCUAAGUCAGGUGUGAAAUUUCGGAGCUUAACUCCGAAACUGCAUUUGAUACUGGCGUGCUUGAGGACUGGAGAGGAGACUGGAAUUCAUGGUGUAGCAGUGAAAUGCGUAGAGAUCAUGAGGAAGACCAGUGGCGAAGGCGGGUCUCUGGACAGUUCCUGACACUGAGGCACGAAGGCCAGGGGAGCAAACGGG
rnacentral:rRNA from 1 species